AACGCUUCUACUAAUCCACGGGUUCUUCCAUCAGUUUUCUGCUUAUCCCACUCGUGUUCCCCUUCAUGGAGCUGGGUGACCCCUGAGAGCAGAGGGAUGAGGAGGGCUUUGUGGAGGAGUGGUGAACGUGCCACGCUACUUUUGGGAAUGAUGGAGAGUUAGAAACCAUGCUGCCUCUAGGAUUAGUCUGGUCCUCACCAGGGAUGCAGAUUUUGGGUUGUGAGCUGUAAUGGAAUCAGAGGUGAGAAUGCAGUACUCGGUGCCAGCCUUGCUAUCCUGCUGGGAGCAGAGCUUGUGACCACAAUGUGAAGAAGAAGAAACAGACAAAAUCAAGUGAAUCAGGCAACACGCAAUUCACCCAAAAUAUUCAUCAUCCCUCGUUGCUGCA
rnacentral:lncRNA from 1 species